rnacentral:rRNA from 1 species
GACGAACGCUGGCGGCGUGCUUAACACAUGCAAGUCGAGCGGUAAGGCCCUUUCGGGGGUACACGAGCGGCGAACGGGUGAGUAACACGUGGGUGACCUGCCCUCAGCUCUGGGAUAAGCCUGGGAAACUGGGUCUAAUACUGGAUAUGACUCCACGGUGCAUGUCGUGGGGUGGAAAGCCUUGUGCGGCUGAGGAUGGGCCCGCGGCCUAUCAGCUUGUUGGUGGGGUGAUGGCCUACCAAGGCGACGACGGGUAGCCGGCCUGAGAGGGCGACCGGCCACACUGGGACUGAGACACGGCCCAGACUCCUACGGGAGGCAGCAGUGGGGAAUCUUGCGCAAUGGGCGAAAGCCUGACGCAGCGACGCCGCGUGAGGGAUGACGGCCC